rnacentral:lncRNA from 1 species
UUGGAAAUUUUUUGAUGUUUCUCUGAUUAAAUAGAUACUUAUGUAUCUAGAAAUGAUUUUUUGAAAAAAUAAAGAGCAAACUACAAGGCAGGUACAGUUGAAAUUUGACCCGCUUCCUACUGAAUCGGCGAGAAUUUGUCUUUUUCACCGGAGGUGGAUCAAGGCAUUUGACACCUAACCAUUUGGUCAACUGUGAAUCAAAUAUGGCCUAGUAUUUUAUAAAAUUGAUUUGGUCCAAUUUUGCAACAAAUAUACUGUAGGUCCUUCACAAAAAGAACUUAAUUCGGGCACUCGGAAAAUGGAAAAUGAAUUUUCCGUGUAAAGAAAAUAAAAAGUCCCUUAGGCAACAUUGUUUGCCAUUCCAAUAUGCACCCUUGUGCAUAAUAUGAGAUCAUUUGAACAAACUAUGACAUGAAUGUGGCCAUAAGAUUGAUCAUUUGGCUUGAAAGCCAUAAAUCUUCACGCAUGAUAGCUCAUUUCUGAGAACAUUUUUUUUAAAAUAAUUGCCGUAUUACAAGUUUAUUAUUUUUCCUAGAAACUUGGUCACAUAUAAUGACAUAAUGCGAAGGUUUUCCAAAUUUUUGAUUUUUUUGAAAUUUUUUAUGCCCGUUUCAAAAUGCGGUCAAAACGGCGAGUUUGACCGUUCCAAGCUAGUGGUUGAAUCUUGGACAACUUUUGAUGUUUCUCUGAUUAAAUAGAUACUUAUGUAUCUAGAAAUGAUUUUUUGAAAAAAUAAAGAGCAAACUAUGAGGCAGCUGCAGUUCAAAUUUGACCCGCUUCCUGCUGAAUCGGCGGGAAUUUGACUUUUUCACCAUAGGUGGAUCAAGGCAUUUUACACCCAACCAUUUGGUCAAUUGUGAAUCAAAUAUGGCCUAGUAUUUUAUAUAGUUGAUUUGGUCCAAUUUUGCAACAAAUAUACUAUAGGUCCUUCACAUAAAGAACUCAAUUCGGGCACUCAGAAAAUGGAAAAUGAAUUUUCCGUGGAAAGAAAA